GGGGAUGUGGCUCAGCGGUAAAGUGCUUACCUAGCACGUACGAAGCGCUGGGUUCAAUCCCCAGCACCA
rnacentral:tRNA from 1 species